CCUACGGGGGGCAGCAGUGAGGAAUAUUGGUCAAUGGGCUUACGCCUGAACCAGCCAAGUCGCGUGAGGGAAGACUGCCCUAUGGGUUGUAAACCUCUUUUGUCAGGGAGCAAUUGGCGCUACGUGUAGCGUUAUCGAGAGUACCUGAAGAAAAAGCAUCGGCUAACUCCGUGCCAGCAGCCGCGGUAAUACGGAGGAUGCGAGCGUUAUCCGGAUUUAUUGGGUUUAAAGGGUGCGUAGGCGGAAUGCCAAGUCAGCGGUAAAAUCGCGGGGCUCAACCUCGCUCCGCCGUUGAAACUGGCAGUCUCGAGUUGGAGAGAAGUAUGCGGAAUGCGCGGUGUAGCGGUGAAAUGCAUAGAUAUCGCGCAGAACUCCGAUUGCGAAGGCAGCAUGCCGGCUCCACACUGACGCUGAGGCACGAAAGCGUGGGUAUCGAACAGGAUUAGAUACCCUUGUAGUC
rnacentral:rRNA from 1 species